rfam:Gossypium raimondii chromosome 8, whole genome shotgun sequence.
CACGUCAGCGCGCUUUUGCUGACGUAGCAGCAAAUCGCGUCCUAGAGGGCGUGAUUUGUUGCCACGUCAGCAAAGCGUGCUGACAUGG